rnacentral:lncRNA from 1 species
UCAUAAAAAGUUAGAAAAAUGUUGUACAAACACUACAACAAAAAUGGUCUAUAGCGACACUUUUAAAUAUAAGUACAUGUCAAAAAAGUGCUACUAGCUAAAAUUACCGACACUUUUAAAAAGUGUUGCUAUAUGUGAGGUCGCUAGGUAUAUAGUGACAGUUAAAGAGUGUCGCUAUAAUCUAAAAAAGUGCUGCUAAUUUACCAACACUUAUUUAAGUAUUUAGCAAUCCCUGAAACUCUAUCUCGUUGGCUGCGGUGGCGGAGGAGGACGACAGUAAAGGCUCUUCGUCUAGAAUUUCAGUGGAUUGAGUGAAGAGAGAAGAAAAGAUGGUAAUUAAUUUUUCUUUUUUUUUUCUUUUUUAUUUGUAAUCAGACCAAAUGAACUGGGUGUGGUGGAUUGAGUAGAGUAAUCUUUUAUUUUUGGUUGGAUUGGACUUUAUAUUUAGGCAUUAGUAGAUGUGUUUUUAAGUUUUAGUAUAAAUGAAACACUUACUCAAAAGUGUCCCAAACAUGUGUCCCUAUAACUUAAUUCUGUUGUAGUGAUUUUUUGAAUUAAUAGUUGGCAUUCUAUCUCGUAGAUGAGGGUCAGAUUGAAUCGAAUCAUAAAGGUUAAAA